GAAAAAUACCGCGUGACGCUUUUUCUUGCGAUCAGACAUUAGGGCCCCCUUCUCUCCCUCUGUGUUAUUUAAACCCAAAUGGGUUCAACGGUAACCUCAAGUAAGUGGAGAAAAUGACAAUCGGCGUAGAAGGCAAUGCCGUUGCCCUCGACCAGAGCCAGCAGCUUCAUUUGUCGUCAUCUCUAGCCCAGCUACAGUUGUGGUUCUUGUGGGUUUCAACUGAACCUAAACUCUAGCAAUCGCAACACUUCAGUCAUCUGUUCUAAAUAUGGAAAACUGAUAAAGAAAGGGAUAAUCUCAUUCUUCUGUAUCGACGAGAGCAGAUUCGUGCAAGUUGAAAAGCUACAAUGGAUUCCCUUCCUUGCAUCGAAAAAUUCAUGGAGUUUGUUCCAAAGAAGAACCAAGCUUCUUUGUCGAAACUGUGGGAACCACAUUGGUAAUGCAUACAAGGAGAAUACAUCUUCAAGUCCUCAAAGAGUCAAUAAAUCUUACUCUCUUUACUGGGAUGGGAUAUCUGAUAGCAAAAUUUAUGAUAUUAAAAUACGAGCUUUGCAGCCUUCUUCCAAUGAUGAGUUAAGUUUAUUACGUUUACAUGAUACCAAGUCAAUGACUAAUUAGAGCAUAUAAACAACACAUAAAAGCUUGAGAAGUAUGUUAAGUGAAGGUGGACAUGGCACAAAUUGAGACACGACCUGAUUUUCCAUUUUCGUUCACUAAAUAUGCUCUAUCAUGAUCGGGAAAGAAGUUUAAUAUGGAUUUGCCUUUUUUUCCCCUUUUUGCUUUAAUACCAUUUUAUCCUACAUGAGUAUUGAAAGAAGUUUAACAUAUGGUUCGAUUUGUGUAAGAUUUUGAAAUGUUUCCAUUUUAUCUAUCCUAUAUGAGUCCGUAACAUGAAGUUUGAAUUUUUCUCACAAACAAUUUGGGUUUGUAAGCUUUCAAUUAAGUAGCGAGACUUGUGUAUAAAGGAAGUCGCAAACACUUCAAUUAUAAAUCUCAUUUUUUAUUUUA